GACGAACGCUGGCGGCGUGCUUAGCACAUGCAAGUCGAACGGUAAGGCCCUUCGGGGUACACGAGUGGCGAACGGGUGAGUAACACGUGGGUGAUCUGCCCUGCACUUCGGGAUAAGCCUGGGAAACUGGGUCUAAUACCGGAUAGGACCACUGCCUGCAUGGGUGGUGGUGGAAAGCUUUUGCGGUGUGGGAUGGGCCCGCGGCCUAUCAGCUUGUUGGUGGGGGGAUGGCCUACCAAGGCGACGACGGGUAGCCGGCCUGAGAGGGUGACCGGCCACACUGGGACUGAGAUACGGCCCAGACUCCUACGGGAGGCAGCAGUGGGGAAUAUUGCACAAUGGGCGCAAGCCUGAUGCAGCGACGCCGCGUGAGGGAUGACGGCCUUCGGGUUGUAAACCUCUUUCAGCACCGACGAAGCGCAAGUGACGGUAGGUGCAGAAGAAGGACCGGCCAACUACGUGCCAGCAGCCGCAGUAA
rnacentral:rRNA from 1 species